UACAGAGGGGGCAAGCGUUGUUCGGAAUUACUGGGCGUAAAGGGCGCGUAGGCGGCCUGUUAAGUCGAACGUGAAAUCCCCGGGCUCAACCCGGGAACUGCGUCCGAUACUGGCAGGCUUGAAUUCGGGAGAGGGAUGCGGAAUUCCAGGUGUAGCGGUGAAAUGCGUAGAUAUCUGGAGGAACACCGGUGGCGAAGGCGGCAUCCUGGACCGAGAUUGACGCUGAGGCGCGAAAGCCAGGGGGAGCAAAACGGG
rnacentral:rRNA from 1 species